AAAAAUUUAGUUAAAAUAUAACACUAAUUUGUCAAAUUAGAAUUAAUAAAAUUUAUUAAUUUUUA
rnacentral:tRNA from 1 species